AUGAAUGAUGAUUCAUCCCCUUUUCCUCUGUUCUGUUAUGGUGAUUUGUGUAGCAAGAGGCUGUGGAGAAGACGGAACUCAGAGAGAGGGAAAGAAAGAAUUUGUGGGCAACCGGUUCAUUAUGCAGUCUCGAGGUUUGAUGACAGUGGCGAUGCACCCCUUGGAAACAUGGAGGAUUGGAGCAAACAAAGUGGACCUGGUUUCGAUGUCAUGAAGACGUCUUGCAAAGGCUUUGGAUUUGAAGCUUGA